rnacentral:tRNA from 1 species
UUCAAAGUGUAUGGUUACUAUCAAAUUUCAUGGGUUUGUUAUUUAGGUUCGAUUCCUAACUUUGAAAAGGUUUAUAAUUCAAUUGGUUAGAAUGUGCUGCUCAUAACUGUGAAGUUAUAGGUUCGAGUCCUAUUAAACCUA